CUCGCAGGUGGUUCGUUGCGUCGUGCGUGAAAGACCCCGGCUCAACUGGGGAGGGUCGUGCGAUACGGGCGAACUGGAGGCCAGUAGGGGGAUGCGGAAUUCCGGGUGUAGUGGUGGAAUGCGUAGAGAUCCGGAGGAACACCAGCGGCGAAGGCGGCAUCCUGGACUGGUCCUGACACUCAGGAGCGAAAGCGUGGGGAGCGAUCC
rnacentral:rRNA from 1 species